rnacentral:rRNA from 1 species
GAUGAACGCUGGCGGCGUGCCUAAUACAUGCAAGUCGAGCGAACGGACGAGAAGCUUGCUUCUCUGAUGUUAGCGGCGGACGGGUGAGUAACACGUGGAUAACCUACCUAUAAGACUGGGAUAACUUCGGGAAACCGGAGCUAAUACCGGAUAAUAUUUUGAACCGCAUGGUUCAAAAGUGAAAGACGGUCUUGCUGUCACUUAUAGAUGGAUCCGCGCUGCAUUAGCUAGUUGGUAAGGUAACGGCUUACCAAGGCAACGAUGCAUAGCCGACCUGAGAGGGUGAUCGGCCACACUGGAACUGAGACACGGUCCAGACUCCUACGGGAGGCAGCAGUAGGGAAUCUUCCGCAAUGGGCGAAAGCCUGACGGAGCAACGCCGCGUGAGUGAUGAAGGUCUUCGGAUCGUAAAACUCUGUUAUUAGGGAAGAACAUAUGUGUAAGUAACUGUGCACAUCUUGACGGUACCUAAUCAGAAAGCCACGGCUAACUACGUGCCAGCAGCCGCGGUAAUACGUAGGUGGCAAGCGUUAUCCGGAAUUAUUGGGCGUAAAGCGCGCGUAGGCGGUUUUUUAAGUCUGAUGUGAAAGCCCACGGCUCAACCGUGGAGGGUCAUUGGAAACUGGAAAACUUGAGUGCAGAAGAGGAAAGUGGAAUUCCAUGUGUAGCGGUGAAAUGCGCAGAGAUAUGGAGGAACACCAGUGGCGAAGGCGGCUUUCUGGUCUGUAACUGACGCUGAUGUGCGAAAGCGUGGGGAUCAAACAGGAUUAGAUACCCUGGUAGUCCACGCCGUAAACGAUGAGUGCUAAGUGUUAGGGGGUUUCCGCCCCUUAGUGCUGCAGCUAACGCAUUAAGCACUCCGCCUGGGGAGUACGACCGCAAGGUUGAAACUCAAAGGAAUUGACGGGGACCCGCACAAGCGGUGGAGCAUGUGGUUUAAUUCGAAGCAACGCGAAGAACCUUACCAAAUCUUGACAUCCUUUGACAACUCUAGAGAUAGAGCCUUCCCCUUCGGGGGACAAAGUGACAGGUGGUGCAUGGUUGUCGUCAGCUCGUGUCGUGAGAUGUUGGGUUAAGUCCCGCAACGAGCGCAACCCUUAAGCUUAGUUGCCAUCAUUAAGUUGGGCACUCUAAGUUGACUGCCGGUGACAAACCGGAGGAAGGUGGGGAUGACGUCAAAUCAUCAUGCCCCUUAUGAUUUGGGCUACACACGUGCUACAAUGGACAAUACAAAGGGCAGCGAAACCGCGAGGUCAAGCAAAUCCCAUAAAGUUGUUCUCAGUUCGGAUUGUAGUCUGCAACUCGACUACAUGAAGCUGGAAUCGCUAGUAAUCGUAGAUCAGCAUGCUACGGUGAAUACGUUCCCGGGUCU